rnacentral:rRNA from 1 species
UUCCGGUUGAUCCUGCCGGACCUGACUGCUAUUGGAGUAGGACUAAGUCACGCUAGUCAAAGGUGCAGAAUGGAGCACCUGGCGUACGGCUCAGUAACACGUAGUCAACCUACCCUAAGGACGAUGACAACCACGGGAAACUGUGGAUAAUCUUCGAUAGGAAAUUUGGCCUGGAACGGUAUCUUUCCUAAAACCGGCUCGCCGUGAGACACGGGCCUUAGGAUGGGGCUGCGGCCGAUUAUGCUUGAUGGCGGUGUAAAGGACCACCAUGGCGACGAUCGGUAUGGGCAAUGGAAGUUGGAGCCCAGAGUCGCUAACUGAGACAAGGUAGCGAGCCUUACGAGGCUUAGCGGUCGCGAAAACUCGCCAAUGCACGAAAGUGUGAGUGGGCUACUCCAAGUGUCAUUCUUACGGAUGACUGUCGCUCAGUAUUACAAGCUGAGAAAGGAAGGAGAGGGCAAGGCUGGUGCCAGCCGCCGCGGUAAAACCAGCUCUUCGAGUGGUCAGGACGAAUAUUGGGUCUAAAGCGCUCGUAGCCGGACAUGUAGGUUCCUGGUUAAAUCCGACAGCAUAACUGUCGACCUGCUGGGAAUACCGCAAGUCUUGGGAGCGGGAGAGGAUAGAGGUAGUCAUAGGGCAGGGGUGAAAUCCAGUGAUCCUAUGGCGACCACCGAUGGCGAAGGCAUCUAUCUGGAACGUCUCCGACGGUGUGGGGCGAAAGCUAGGGGAGCGACCCGGAUUAGAUACCCGGUUAGUCCUAGCCGUAAACGAUGCCGACUAGGUGUUGCGACGGCCAAGAGCCGUUGCGGUGCCACAGCGAAGGCGUUAAGUCGGCCACCUGGGGAGUACGGUCGCAAGACUGAAACUUAAAGGAAUUGACGGGGGCGCACCACCAGGAGUGAAGCCUGCGGUUUAAUUGGAUUCAACGCCGGAAAUCACUAGUGCGGCCG